rnacentral:rRNA from 1 species
AUUGAACGCUAGCGGGAUGCUUUACACAUGCAAGUCGAACGAGUGGCGGACGGGUGAGUAAUAUAUCGGAACGUGCCCGGUAGAGGGGGAUAACUACUCGAAACAGUGGCUAAUACCGCAUACUAUUGGAUCGGCCGAUAUCGGAUUAGCUAGUUGGUGAGGUAAAGGCUCACCUAGGCGACGAACCCUAGCUGGUCUGAGAGGAUGAUCAGCCACACUGGGACUGAGACACGGCCCAGACUCCUACGGGAGGCAGCAGUGGGGAAUAUUGCACAAUGGGCGCAAGCCUGAUGCAGCCAUGCCGCGUGUAUGAAGAAGGCCCUAGGGUUGUAAAGUACUUUCAGUCGGGAGGCGUUACCGACAGAAGAAGCACCGGCUAACUCCGUGCCAGCAGCCGCGGUAAUAC